AGGAUCUGAGUGAGAAGGUAGUCAUUACUGCUGAGGAUCUUCCUGAAGAACUUGAUGUAAUUGCCGAGACAAAAUGCAGUCACCAAUGUACAGCCUUGUGGAACAUUUGACAAAGAUAAGUGUCAAAUCAACUACAUCAUACUUUUUGAGAACGACACCGUUCAUCUGCAUCUUGUCAAAACAAAACACUGACAAUCCAAUUUACAAGACGCCGCUGACGUCCAAUCAGAAUCCAGUCUACAAAGGAACGGUCGAUGAUUAGAAUGACAGACAACCCCUAAGUCCAGUCUACAUGUAUAAGCUGAAAUCUGUGAGGACUAGAUUAAAAACCCAUAAGGAUAUGCAUGGUUUUGUUGCUGGCGCAUUUUCUCAUUAUAAUUUUAGAAACGUUUUGUUCUACCUUUUUUUUUUUGUAUGUUGUACUGUUUAAGAUCAAUCUGUACAUAAUUUGUCAGCGAUACUGUUAAUAUGGCUAUAUUCACGAUAGUUUUAAACAUAAUAAUGUAGAUCGAGCGAUACUCGCGAUAGUUUUGUACGUAGUUUGUCAGCGACAUUGUUGAUCGAGUGAUAUUCGCUAUAGUUUUGUACAUAAUUUGUCAGCGAUACUGUAUGUCGGGCGGUAUUCGUGAUACUUUUAUUUUCACUAAUAUUCGUGAAUACGUAAAUACUAGUGAAUUCAAUAUAUUUUUGAAUAGUAAUCUGCGUUAUGUCAUAAAAUAUAAACACUCACGUUUCGCAAAUUCUUAACACCGCUAAUGUAACUGCUUACCAUGACGCUAAGAAUGCGUACAUGAAAUAGCCCAAUCUACAGUAUAUAAAUAUUUAACUUUGUUUUGUUUCAUGCUUAAAAUGAUGUACAAUUUUUAUUUGUAAAUACGUCAGUCCUGUAUUUUUUCCUUUUUCUGUUCGGUUUUGAGUUUAAUAUGUGUUUGUAGAUAAUGUGUGGUUCUAUGAAUUAUGUGGUUAUAGAUUUUAAUCAAGUUAUUAUUUACAUCAGGGUCAGAUAUGCGAUUAUAUUUUCGUAUUUGUUUCAUUUUAUUAUAUCUGAGAGUUUGCUUCUGUGACAGUAGCUGGAUAAGUUAACCUGUUAAUCUUUACUUACAUAUAUCUUUCGUAGGUUGUCUGUAACCUGUUACCUUUUGUAAGAGUUUAAUCAUCCGCGGUAUUUCGUAUGUUGUCUAUAACCUGUCGCCUUUUGUAAGAGUUUAGUCGUCCGCGGUAUUUUUUAUGUUGUCUGUAACCUGUCGCCUUUUGUAAGAGUUUAGUCGUCCGCGGUAUUUCGUAUGUUGUCUGUAACCUGUCGCCUUUUGUAAGAUUAAAGUCGUCCGCGGUAUUUCGUAUGUUGUCUGUAACUUGUCGCCUUUUGUAAGAGUUUAAUCGUCCGCGGUAUUUCG